CCAUUUGGGAUGAUCUUGAUCUCGUUGAACUUCAUUUUUCAUCGCAGACCUUGUUAUGGGCUUAAUGUAGACUGAAUCUUGAGGUAUCAAAUCCUAACAAACUUCAUAUAUGUGAUAUAUGACAUUAGGUUUAGAUUUAAAACUAUUUCAAGAUCAUAAGCCACUAAUACAUGCAAUAAAAUAUAAUCUAAAAUAUUUUUUUUAAAAUCUAAAAAUUAUAUUGUUGCAUGUAGGUAUGGGUUGAACAAAUUAGGUCUAGUG
rnacentral:lncRNA from 1 species